rnacentral:rRNA from 1 species
GCUGUUAAGGGUUCGUAGUUGAAUUAGGGGUAGCGGAGUAAACUGCUGGCGUCUUGCCCUUCCAGGGAAGGCUAACCACAGUUCUCCCUACUCGAGAACAUUGGAAACAACCAUCGCGGGUCGUUACCACCUCAAAUACCGCAUACAACGUAUGUGUAAUGGUUGGCGCCCGUGGUUUUACUGUGACAAAAGAAGGGUGAUCAAGGCAGUCAUUCGACGUGGAUUAGAAAGCAUGGGUAACAAAGGAGCGGCCUACGAACUGCCGAUUCGGCUUUUGUUGGUUUUAAAGGUCUGUGGGGAUUGUGAACCCCCAAGACCGGCUGCGCGUGCUAUUACUGUGCGCGACGGCCUUCCGUCUCGUCCUUGCGGCGGGGCGGCUUGGUGGGUUCAGGAAUGAAGGAGGGUUGUUCGGGGGGAACGUACUUGAGCGUGAGAGGUGAAAUUCUUAGACCGCUCAAAGACGAACUACAGCGAGGCAUUCUCCAAGGAUACCUUCCUCAAUCAAGAACCAAAGUGUGGAGAUCGAAGAUGUUAGAUACCAUUGUAGUCC